rnacentral:rRNA from 1 species
UACGUAGGUGACAAGCGUUGUCCGGAUUUACUGGGCGUAAAGAGCGCGCAGGCGGUCGUUCAAGUCGAGUGUGAAAGCCCCGGCUCAACUGGGGAGGGUCAUUCGAUACUGAUCGACUCGAAGGCAGGAGAGGGUAGUGGAAUUCCCGGUGUAGUGGUGAAAUGCGUAGAUAUCGGGAGGAACACCAGUGGCGAAGGCGACUACCUGGCCUGUUCUUGACGCUGAGGCGCGAAAGCUAGGGGAGCAAACGGG